CAUAUAAAGUAGAGGAAGAUAGGCAUGGAUGUUAGCUCAGGGCCUGUCUUCCUCAGCAAAAAGAGGAGGAUUGGCGGCAGAUGUUAGCUCAGGUCUAAUCUUCCUCAAAAUAAAUAAAUAAAUAAUUACAGAGAUAGAUCAAGGAUAGUUGUUUUCCGAAUAAAAUUUUUAUACCAUUGCACCAAGUGUUUACCUAAACCCAACUUAUCCUAAGAAUCUUGCAUCUGAUUGCCCUAGGCUUCUCUAGGAGAAUCUUCAAACAAGCUUCCUAAAUUAUAAUCUUAAUCUAAAGCAUUACCUAAAUUUUUUUAUCCUAAUUAACACACGUCAUUCUAGCUAAUUUAUAAUAUGAAACAUUGUAAAUAGUUGAAUAAUCCUGCUUAAAACCCUUAGAUGACUUCUCAUUGCUCUUAGAAUAACGACAAAAGUCUUAACUAUGGCCUUCCUCUCCUUCUCAGCCUUAUUCCAUGCCCCCUGCUCCCUCAGCCCACCCACUUCAGCCACAUUUGCCUCCUCACACUUCCUGUAAAGCAUCAAGCUCCCGCUUGCCUCGGGCCUUUCUUCCUGCAGUUCCGUUUAGCUGGAACGCUGGCCUUCCCAGGCCCACUCUCCCACCCACACUCCUAACUGGUGUGCCUCAGGCCUCAGCUCACACAUCCUUUCCUAGAGCCUUCCCGACUCUGCAACCUGAGUCAGCUGCCUCUUGCCCCGCCUCAUGGCAACGUGUACUUUUACUUCAGAGUGCUCAUCAAAGUUGUAAACACAUAUUUUUUGUGAGUUUUUACAAAUUAACAUCUGUUUCCCCCCACUCUCACUAUGAUUUAUAUGCUCCAUGAGGGCAGGAAUGUGUCUGUUUUGUCCUCCAUGGUAACUCCACCACCUAACACACUGCCUUGCACACAGUAGGCAUACUGUAAAUGUCUGUUCAUGAAUGAAUGAAGUUAUUCUGAAAUCAUUAUUUCAGCCCAACUCCACUUUUCUCUACUAUUGCUGGUAAUAAAUUAA
rnacentral:lncRNA from 1 species